rnacentral:rRNA from 1 species
AGAGUUUGAUCAUGGCUCAGGACGAACGCUGGCGGCACGCUUAACACAUGCAAGUCGAACGAGAGAAGAGGAGCUUGCUUUUCUGAUCUAGUGGCGGGCGGGUGAGUAACACGUGAGCAAUCUGCCUUUCAGAGGGGGAUACCGAUUGGAAACGAUCGUUAAUACCGCAUAACAUAAUUGGACCGCAUGAUUUGAUUAUCAAAGAUUUAUCGCUGAAAGAUGAGCUCGCGUCUGAUUAGCUAGUUGGUAAGGUAACGGCUUACCAAGGCGACGAUCAGUAGCCGGACUGAGAGGUUGAUCGGCCACAUUGGGACUGAGACGCGGCCCAGACUCCUACGGGAGGCAGCAGUGGGGAAUAUUGCACAAUGGAGGAAACUCUGAUGCAGCGAUGCCGCGUGAGGGAAGAAGGUUUUAGGAUUGUAAACCUCUGUCUUCAGGGACGAAAAAAGACGGUACCUGAGGAGGAAGCUCCGGCUAACUACGUGCCAGCAGCCGCGGUAAUACGUAGGGAGCGAGCGUUGUCCGGAAUUACUGGGUGUAAAGGGAGCGUAGGCGGGAUCGCAAGUCAGAUGUGAAAACUAUGGGCUUAACCCAUAAACUGCAUUUGAAACUGUGGUUCUUGAGUGAAGUAGAGGUAAGCGGAAUUCCUAGUGUAGCGGUGAAAUGCGUAGAUAUUAGGAGGAACACCAGUGGCGAAGGCGGCCUGCUGGGCUUUAACUGACGCUGAGGCUCGAAAGCGUGGGUAGCAAACAGGAUUAGAUACCCUGGUAGUCCACGCUGUAAACGAUGAUUACUAGGUGUGGGGGGACUGACCCCUUCCGUGCCGCAGUUAACACAAUAAGUAAUCCACCUGGGGAGUACGGCCGCAAGGUUGAAACUCAAAGGAAUUGACGGGGGCCCGCACAAGCAGUGGAGUAUGUGGUUUAAUUCGAAGCAACGCGAAGAACCUUACCAGGUCUUGACAUCGAGUGACGAGUGUAGAGAUACACUUUUCCUUCGGGACACGAAGACAGGUGGUGCAUGGUUGUCGUCAGCUCGUGUCGUGAGAUGUUGGGUUAAGUCCCGCAACGAGCGCAACCCUUACCAUUAGUUGCUACGCAAGAGCACUCUAAUGGGACUGCCGUUGACAAAACGGAGGAAGGUGGGGAUGACGUCAAAUCAUCAUGCCCCUUAUGACCUGGGCCACACACGUACUACAAUGGCCGUCAACAGAGGGAAGCAAAACCGCGAGGCAGAGCAAACCCCUAAAAACGGUCUCAGUUCGGAUCGCAGGCUGCAACCCGCCUGCGUGAAGCCGGAAUUGCUAGUAAUCGCGGAUCAGCAUGCCGCGGUGAAUACGUUCCCGGGCCUUGUACACACCGCCCGUCACACCAUGAGAGUUGGCAACACCCGAAGUCAGUAGUCUAACCGCAAGGGGGACGCUGCCGAAGGUGGGGUUGAUGAUUGGGGUGAAGUCGUAACAAGGUA